GACGAACGCUGGCGGCGUGCCUAAUACAUGCAAGUAGAACGCUGAAGCGAGGAGCUUGCUCUUCUUGGAUGAGUUGCGAACGGGUGAGUAACGCGUAGGUAACCUGCCUUGUAGCGGGGGAUAACUAUUGGAAACGAUAGCUAAUACCGCAUAACAAUGGAUGACACAUGUCAUUUAUUUGAAAGGGGCAAUUGCUCCACUACAAGAUGGACCUGCGUUGUAUUAGCUAGUAGGUGAGGUAAUGGCUCACCUAGGCGACGAUACAUAGCCGACCUGAGAGGGUGGUCGGCCACACUGGGACUGAGACAGGGCCCAGACUCCCACGGGAGGCAGCAGUAGGGAAUCUUCGGCAAUGGGGGCAACCCUGACCGAGCAACGCCGCGUGAGUGAAGAAGGUUUUCGGAUCGUAAAGCUCUGUUGUAAGUCAAGAACGGGUGUGAGAGUGGAAAGUUCACACUGUGACGGUAGCUUACCAGAAAGGGACGGCUAACUACGUG
rnacentral:rRNA from 1 species